UACGUAGGGAGCAAGCGUUGUCCGGAAUCAUUGGGCGUAAAGCGCGUGUAGGCGGCUUGGUAAGUCUGCUCUGAAAGCCCGGGGCUCAACCCCGGGAGGCGGGUGGAUACUGCUGAGCUCGAGUCCGGAAGAGGCGAGUGGAAUUCCUGGUGUAGCGGUGGAAUGCGCAGAUAUCAGGAAGAACACCAACGGCGAAGGCAGCUCGCUGGGACGGUACUGACGCUGAGACGCGAAAGCGUGGGGAGCGAACAGG
rnacentral:rRNA from 1 species